rnacentral:misc_RNA from 1 species
AACACUGUUAACCUGCGGUACCUGCGGAAGGAUCAUUAUAGUAUAUGGAAUCUCCAUUCUAUAAACCCACUCUGCGUAUCUUGUAACUGUUGCUUCCAUGGGACUUGGUUCCGCCACACCGGCUUCACGGCUGGUGAGCGCCCAUGGAAGGAGAGACAAAACUCUUCUUUGAAAUGUAGUCAGUCUGAACAAGUUUUUAUAAACGUUAAAACUUUUAGCAACGGAUCUCAGAUCGGAAGA